UCCGGCGGGGGUACACGCACACCACUCCGAUGGGCCGUCAGGACGCGUCGGCCGGACUGUGUCAACCUUGGCCGAUAUAGGGUUCGUGUUCAGAAACGGAUGUACGACGAUGAUAAUAAUAAUAAUACUAAUAAUAAUAAUAUUAUAAGCUUCGUGAGUCUUUCUUUCCGUACGCUUUUCGUUUUCCUAUCUAUUUUCUUGUCUUUCUCUUUUAUCCCGUACACGCGCAACGGACACGAGUCUAUGACCGCGCGCCGGACGGCGUGCUCGGGUCUCCGCGGAACAGUAUCUCUAUAACAUUUUCGUUUCGAUUUUUUUCUUCGGUUUUAUUUUUUCGUUUUGAUUUUUUUACUUAAUCAUACGCGGGCACUCGGCGUGAAAGAUCUACGCGGCUAGAAUCUGCGCAGCUGGUGCAGCGGACGAAUCAAUAAAUGGUGCAGUUUAAAUCGCAGUACCUACUAUGGCUGCAACCUACAACUUUACUGUUUCCCAAAUCGCAAACUGAGAAAUUCGUGAUGCGGCAAUCCAGUUUCAUUCAUAUACGCCGUAUUUCUCGAUUUCUCCGUUUAAAGACGAAGACUAAUAUACUACCUACACGCAUAACAACGACAAGUCUGGUGUUCUGUCAUAGCGGUGCGUCUAGAUUUCUCGCAAAAAUAUUUUCCGUCCAUUCAAUUACACCGACUCACCGAUAUUACUGUAAGAAUGUAGGCAUUGAAAUAAUAAUAAUAAUAAAAAUAAUCGUCUAUUCAAACACGAAACGUUUUUUAUUCGCGCCUAUUCGUAAUACGCUAUGUUUUCUAUUGAAGUGAAAAAAUCAAUUUAUUUAUUUCGCUUACGUUAUG